GAUGAACGCUGGCGGCGUGCCUAAUAUAUGCAAGUCGAGCGAACGGACGAGAAGCUUGCUUCUCUGAUGUUAGCGGCGGACGGGUGAGUAACACGUGGAUAACCUACCUAUAAGACUGGGAUAACUUCGGGAAACCGGAGCUAAUACCGGAUAAUAUUUUGAACCGCAUGGUUCAAAAGUGAAAGACGGUCUUGCUGUCACUUAUAGAUGGAUCCGCGCUGCAUUAGCUAGUUGGUAAGGUAACGGCUUACCAAGGCAACGAUGCAUAGCCGACCUGAGAGGGGGAUCGGCCACACUGGAACUGAGACACGGUCCAGACUCCUACGGGAGGCAGCAGUAGGGAAUCUUCCGCAAUGGGCGAAAGCCUGACGGAGCAACGCCGCGUGAGUGAUGAAGGUCUUAGGAUCGUAAAACUCUGUUAUUAGGGAAGAACAUAUGUGUAAGUAACUGUGCACAGCUUGACGGUACCUAAUCAGAAAGCCACGGCUAACUACGUG
rnacentral:rRNA from 1 species